rnacentral:sRNA from 13 species
GCAAGUCCGGCGGCCCCUCUCCUCCUCCCUGGGGUCGCCGGUACUGCACAACCAGAUCGGUGGCCCUCUCCUCCUCCCUGGGCCAUCGUGAAAUGAACGGCGGCGCCUCUCCUCCUCCCUGGCGUCGCCGUUUCUU